rnacentral:rRNA from 1 species
UGGGGAAUUUUGGACAAUGGGCGAAAGCCUGAUCCAGCAAUGCCGCGUGUGUGAAGAAGGCCUUCGGGUUGUAAAGCACUUUUGUCCGGAAAGAAAUCCUUGGCUCUAAUACAGUCGGGGGAUGACGGUACCGGAAGAAUAAGCACCGGCUAACUACGUGCCAGCAGCCGCGGUAAUACGUAGGGUGCAAGCGUUAAUCGGAAUUACUGGGCGUAAAGCGUGCGCAGGCGGUUUGCUAAGACCGAUGUGAAAUCCCCGGGCUCAACCUGGGAACUGCAUUGGUGACUGGCAGGCUAGAGUAUGGCAGAGGGGGGUAGAAUUCCACGUGUAGCAGUGAAAUGCGUAGAGAUGUGGAGGAAUACCGAUGGCGAAGGCAGCCCCCUGGGCCAAUACUGACGCUCAUGCACGAAAGCGUGGGGAGCAAACAGGAUUAGAUACCCUGGUAGUCCACGCCCUAAACGAUGUCAACUAGUUGUUGGGGAUUCAUUUCCUUAGUAACGUAGCUAACGCGUGAAGUUGACCGCCUGGGGAGUACGGUCGCAAGAUUAAACUUAAUGAAUUGACGGGGUCAUAGCUG